AGGACUGAUAUGAAAAACAAGUGACUAUCUAGGUUUCUUGCCAUGGACUACAACCUCGCAGUGUUGAAGCUCUUCUCCGGCGAACUGAAAGAUGCUCGGCCCUCUACCUCCCCGUCCUCAACCAGCGAGCCUGGAUGCAGGCUGGGGUUUUGGUGUCGCGAUCCGAUGAGGGUGCUUCCUCAUCGACGACGGUUCCGGCGUCGUCGGGCUCCUCCUAUCAGCCGAAUCCCAUCCUCAGCGGUGGAACAUUGGUAGAAAGAAACUCCCCUUUUAAUCUUUGAUCUCUUCUCAUCUGCGGUUGCAGGGAUAGGAGUAGACACUCCCCUUUUAACAUUGGUCGAGCUUCAGCACUUUACCAUAUUAUGAAUCAUUUCUUCUUAGUUCCAGGGAUAUAUUUGUCCUGAUUUCUAGUUGUGGAAUAGUGCUGAUUUUCGUUUCCAUAUAUCCGUCCUGAUUUUUAGUUUUGGAAUUUUGCUGAAGUUUCAUUCCAGUUCAUCUUCGAAUACUGUAAGGUGAUGAGAGGUUCCCAGUUGCUGAAAUGUCCAGUUGUGCUGGUUUAUGAUGUCGAAGUCAGGUUGAAGCUGAUACUUGUAAAUUGCAGUUGUAAUAAUGCUGUUGCUAUAACUUAGAAGAUACUGAAAGUGGUGGUUGUUGAUUGAUGUUGUGUGCUGAAAUUGAAAUUUCUUUCCCAGAUUCUUUGUUCAAGAUCUUAACCUUGCGAAUCCUUUUUUUACGCUGGUUUAGAAGUUUAAAGUUGAGUGAAAGAAUACACUUUUGCUUGUUUUCUUUUCAGGUUAUACAUGCAAAUAGAUUGUAUUAAUUGAAAUAAAUUUUGUUACAAUGGAGGUAGAUAGGAGAGGGUCAGAGUUUUUUAUUUUUGUUUUUGAGGAAAUUGUAGGAAUUUUGUGUUUGAAAGUUGAUGUACAUUUUUUUUCUGUUUCGUAUUGUUUACUUGCCCUGUUUAAAAAAAAACAAUCUAAAUUGACCUUUCUUUUGAUCUGUUAGUGGUGAAAUUGUUGAAUUGUCAAAUCCAACAUGGGUUUGUUAUUAAGUAAAAGCUCUGUGAAGAUGUCUCUAGAUUUAUCAAAGAUCAAUGUUCAGACAAAUGUAUCUUGAAUUUCUUCUGUGUCAUGUCUUGCUUCAUCACAAGUGUGUAGCAAAGGAUCUGGUAGGUGAAAGACAAAUCUUUUGAGCUUCAAGAUGAUGUUUCUCUUGUUGUUUUAAGUUAGAUUGUUUGUUCUUUCAUACUCUUUUGAUGCUGUCAUUAUUUGUUUACUUUAAUGAUUAGAAGCAUUCUUGAGAAUCCUCUUUUCGCUUCAUGAAAAAAGGAACAAUAUAAUCUGGAAAAGAACUGCGAAAUUUGAUACUAGAAACCAUAGCUCAUCAAAUCCAUAUUAUUCCAGGCUCACAAGAUUGCUGACCUCUCUGAACACCCAAACGAGAAGCACUGUGGAACUUAGAGGUCAUUUAGGCACAUAAAUUGUUCUAUCUUACAUCACCAGCCUUCGUGACUCUGCAUCAUUGUGCAAUACUAAGGAGUGAUAUUUUUUGUUUAAUUUCUGGCUCACUUUACCCAAAAACUUUGAGAGGGAAGAAAGGAAACUAAAUGCUUUCAUUGUCUUAAUCUCUGCUUAUUAAGGAAUGUUUUUUGAUGUACUGAUAUUUGGGAACCAAGUAUUUGAUCAAGAGUUCAAGACAAUAGUCUUUGCUAUCUUUUUUUUUCCAUGUAAAAUUUGACAGAAACAUUUCUGUAAAAUAGACUAUUUAUAUCUUAGAUCAGCAGCAGUUCCUUAUUCACUGCAAUGAUGUUACUGUGUUUGAGCAUUGUAGUGUUUUUUGGUGAAAAACACCAUGGACCAUGUGAAGCAUUCAUCAAACUGUAGUCAAAAGGCUUUGCUGUUAUUUUAUUGUUAAUAAAUGGUGCUCUUGGUACAGUUUGAUGUAGAAUCUAAUUGCAGUUUUAGCUUUGUGUCAUUUUUUAGCCUGGAUUUUGAUGCAUCUGUGCAUUAUUAUUCCUAUAUAAUCCACCCUUAGAUGUGUAUGUGACUGAGUGAUGAUCUUGUUUACCAGAGUUUCCUUCAUUUGCUUUUUAGUAUCUUGAUAAUGAAUAGGCAUUUCCCAUGUAGCUUAAUUACUAUAAUGAUGUUCUAAUAUACUACAACAAUUGGCCAUGAGUGCCAUUUCCCUGGGUAACUUAAAUUAACUUAAUCAUGUGUCUAAUAAAUUAUAACAAGGAGCAUGAGUUUUAACCAUUUUGAAUUGGCUAUUUAGACAUUUUGCAUCGUCAUAACAAUUGAUUAAGAUCGAUGGUCAAGAUUGUUGGUAUUAUUUUAUGCUGACCGCUAAGGUCCAAUGUAGCUCUCAGUCAUUUCAUCCAAGUCUGAGAUUGACAUUUGUCUUUGAUAUGGUUUGUAAAAAUGCAAUUUACUUAGGCCCUGCUUAAACUAAACAUUUGUGUUCCCAUGAAGAGUUGAAUUACUUUAGCUUUAUGGAAUAUCAUUGUGAAUGAACACUUUUAAGUACUAUCUAUGUGACCUUACUAAGCUUUUUCAGAUGUUAAUCUUCAGGACUGGUUGGCCAUUGAUCAUGUAAAGCUUUUGUAUGAACCCACUCUGGUCCAGGUCAGGUCUCUUGUUGAACUCAAAAAGAAUGUCUUCUUCUAGAGCUAAGAUUACCUCCGAAGUAAUUAGUUGAGAUAUCAUCACAUUUCACUGUGCAAAAUUCAGUUUGUUUUAUGUCUUUGCAUCUGCUAGUGGUUCAAAAAGUUUAGUCUGUUAUAUAAUUCUGCAGAGCAUAUUGUUGUAUCUGAGGAACAUGCUGCAGAGCAUAUUGUUGUAUCUAAUUCUUUCUUAAGAUCUUGGACCGAUAAAUUCUCCUUCAA